rnacentral:ncRNA from 1 species
UGUGGCUAGAAGAAUUCUAUUUUAAUUCAUCAGGUCAAAGAGGUAGGAAGGGCACAAUGCCUGUGCUGUUUGUUCUUUUGAAUCAAAAUUGAGCUGUUGUUUUAAGUCCUUUUCAUUGAUCAAAAACGAAAGUUAAAGGCUCGAAGGCGAUCAGAUACCGCCGUAGUUCUAAGCAUAAACGAUCCCAGUCAGUGAUCCGGCUAUGUUCCUCAAAUGACACGCCGGGCUGCUUUGAGGAAACCUAAGCUUUUGGGUUCCG